AAUGAGAGAAUUGGACAAGACAGGCUUCAGUCACAGACACCCCAAGCAGACCAGGAUCCUUCCUAAGAGGAACACAAUUCCCCUCAUGGGUUGGGGUUUGGAUGUUUGGUUCAGGAAGAGCCUAGGACCUGGCUGCGGUCACCCAGGGCGCCCAGCACUCGACCCGAGAACAUUUCUGAAAGUAGCACUGCAGUUCCUCGAUAACUGAGCAGACUCCAAGGAGACAAGGAGAAAACAGAAAA
rnacentral:lncRNA from 1 species